rnacentral:rRNA from 1 species
GGACGGGUGAGUAAUGUCUGGGAAACUGCCCGAUGGAGGGGGAUAACUACUGGAAACGGUAGCUAAUACCGCAUAACGUCGCAAGACCAAGAGGGGACCUUCGGGCCUCUUGCCAUCGGAUGUGCCCAGAUGGGAUUAGCUAGUAGGUGGGGUAACGGCUCACCUAGGCGACGAUCCCUAGCUGGUCUGAGAGGAUGACCAGCCACACUGGAACUGAGACACGGUCCAG